rnacentral:rRNA from 1 species
UACGUAGGGUGCAAGCGUUAAUCGGAAUUACUGGGCGUAAAGCGUGCGCAGGCGGUUUUGUAAGCCAGAUGUGAAAGCCCCGGGCUCAACCUGGGAACUGCGUUUGGAACUACAAGACUAGAGUGUGUCAGAGGGGGGUGGAAUUCCGCGUGUAGCAGUGAAAUGCGUAGAUAUCUGGAAGAACACCAGUAGCGAAGGCGGCUCUCUGGACCGAUACUGACGCUCAAGCGCGAAGGCUUGGGGAGCAAACAGGAUUAGAAACCCUGGUAGU